UGUCCAUCAUCUUACGGUAAUACCUAAGGCUAUCUUAAAAUUACAGUUAUUCAACACAAUGCCUGUCUUUUUUCUAUGAUAUCGGAAGCACUUGGCUUACAAUUGUCAAUAUUCGUUUUAUCGAAUCAUUCAUUUCUUUAGCAUUAAAAUAAGUUUUAUUAAGAAAUAUACUACUGGUAAAAAAAAGCUAGGCAGUCUAAGUAAGAAUUAAUUACAUUAUAUUUUGAAACAAAUAAUAAAUUAAUUCAUUCAAUGUAAAAAGACUGGUACUAAAAUCGUUAUAAACUAAAUCCAACCAAGUAAUAACUUGAGACGAUUAACAUUAAGCAUCAAUAUCGAUUGGGUCAUCAGAGGAACCUUUUCCCAUUGUUCCAUUUGUUUUGCGAGAGGCACGUAGAGAUGUACCGGCACCUUCAAACUUAAAUAAAUUGGGGUCUUUCUUAGAAUCUUCUUCAAUAGAGGGUGCUUUAUAAGGAUACCCAAAGAAGUAUGUACCCAAUGGUAGGAUCAACGGAGCAGGACAUUCUUGUUUCUCAACAUCGAGCAAAUUUAUUUUAGGCACUUCAGCAACUUCUUUACCAUUUAGUUUAGUCCCUGUUCCCUUCAUCAAAUUCGAAUCGCCCUGCCUCACCAGCUCAUCGUAACCAAUCUUGGUAACCAUCGUUCCUUGAACGCCAGCAAUAUUUUGCUGCUUGUUUUUUUGCAAACUUUCUUCAUAACCGAUGGGGGGAUCAAAAUCAACUACCAAAUCGGUUUCUACCACUGAGACAACAUGGCGGGAGUCAUCAGGUUGAACAUCUAUAACUUUUAUUUGAUAUACCUGGUCGUUAUACAAAAUCUCAAAUAUAUCAGAUUUUGUAAGCGUACUGAAAUUCCUAAGCGCAUUUUCCAAUACCGCUCUGUGGUCCGUGAUAUCAAGAAAAUUCACGCUUUGAGGCUGUAAUUUGACAUAGCUGCCCUGUGCUAUAUCAGUAUUUAUAACUCGAACCAAAUCUCCAGGCUCAAGGCUAAGUGUAGUCAUCAUCUGUGCCCUAGUUAGUACAUUUCUGACAGUCUUUAAAUUUUUUCAUACCCAAUAAGGCAGGUAGACACGUCCCUCUUCCGCAAUAAAUUCUAACACACCCCCAUGAGUUUUUUUCUCUGCAGCUUCGUUUUCAAAGUCAAAAAGCAUGGGAUAACUGACAUUCAGGCGUGCUAAUAGUUAAUUAACAGAUUUAAAAGGCUUAAUAAAUUCUCUUCGCA